AACGAACGCUGGCGGCAGGCUUAACACAUGCAAGUCGAGCGCAGGAAGUCGACGGAACCCUUCGGGGGGAAGUCGACGGAAUGAGCGGCGGACGGGUGAGUAACACGUAAAGAACCUGCCCUCAGGUCUGGGAUAACCACGAGAAAUCGGGGCUAAUACCGGAUGGGUCAUCGGACCGCAUGGUCCGAGGAUGAAAGGCGCUCCGGCGUCGCCUGGGGAUGGCUUUGCGGUGCAUUAGCUAGUUGGUGGGGUAAUGGCCCACCAAGGCGACGGUGCAUAGCCGACCUGAGAGGGUGAUCGGCCACACGGGGACUGAGACACGGCACAGACUCCUACGGGAGGCAGCAGUAGGGAAUCUUCCACAAUGGACGAAAGUCUGAUGGAGCAACGCCGCGUGAACGAUGAAGGCCUUCGGGUCGUAAAGUUCUGUUGUAAGGGAAGAACAAGUGCCGCAGGCAAUGGCGGCACCUUGACGGUACCUUGCGAGAAAGCCACGGCUAACUACGUGCCAGCCGCCGCAGUAAAAC
rnacentral:rRNA from 1 species